AUUGAACGCUGGCGGCAUGCCUUACACAUGCAAGUCGAACGGCAGCACGGGGCAACCUGGUGGCGAGUGGCGAACGGGUGAGUAAUGCAUCGGAACGUACCUUUCAGUGGGGGAUAACGUAGCGAAAGUUACGCUAAUACCGCAUAUUCUGUGAGCAGGAAAGCAGGGGAUCGCAAGACCUUGCGCUGAUUGAGCGGCCGAUGUCAGAUUAGCUAGUUGGUGAGGUAAAGGCUCACCAAGGCGACGAUCUGUAGCGGGUCUGAGAGGAUGAUCCGCCACCCGGGAACUGGGACACGGUCCAGACUCCUACGGGAGGCAGCAGUGGGGAAUUUUGGACAAUGGGGGCAACCCUGAGCCAGCCAUGCCGCGUGAGUGAAGAAGGCCUUGGGUUGUAAAGCUCUUUCGGCCGGGAAGAAAUCGCACGGGCUAAUACCCUGUGUGGAUGACGGUACCGGAAUAAGAAGCACCGGCUAACUACGUGCCAGCAGCCGCCGUAAUAC
rnacentral:rRNA from 1 species